rnacentral:rRNA from 1 species
ACACUCCUGCGGGAGGCAGCAGUGGGGAAUAUUGCACAAUGGGCGCAAGCCUGAUGCAGCCAUGCCGCGUGUAUGAAGAAGGCCUUCGGGUUGUAAAGUACUUUCAGCGGGGAGGAAGGUGUUGAGGUUAAUAACCUCAGCAAUUGACGUUACCCGCAGAAGAAGCACCGGCUAACUCCGUGCCAGCAGCCGCGGUAAUACGGAGGGUGCAAGCGUUAAUCGGAAUUACUGGGCGUAAAGCGCACGCAGGCGGUCUGUCAAGUCGGAUGUGAAAUCCCCGGGCUCAACCUGGGAACUGCAUUCGAAACUGGCAGGCUAGAGUCUUGUAGAGGGGGGUAGAAUUCCAGGUGUAGCGGUGAAAUGCGUAGAGAUCUGGAGGAAUACCGGUGGCGAAGGCGGCCCCCUGGACAAAGACUGACGCUCAGGUGCGAAAGCGUGGGGAGCAAACAGGAUUAGAAACCCGGGUAGUCCCAUG